rnacentral:rRNA from 1 species
CCUGUCCUGUAAUUGAUAAUCCACGAUUUUCUAAACUUAUUUUUUUAGUUUGCAUACCAUCGUAUAUUGAAUAUUUUUUAAGAAUUACAAUAUUCAAAAUUUCGUGAGAAAAAAAAUCAGAUCAAGGUGUAGCUUAUAGGUAAGAAGAGAUGGGUUACAAUAAAAUUAUUUAAACGGAUAAAUUUUUGUUAUAAAAUUUUGAAGGUGGAUUUGAAAGUAAUUUUAUUUAAAUUUUUAAAAUGAUUUAAGCUCUAAAAUAUGUACAUAUCGCCCGUCACUUUCAUUUCAAGAUGGAAUAAGUCGUAACAUAGUAGAUGUACUGGAAAGUGUAUCUAGAACGGUUGAAUUAAAGCUUUUGAAGCAUUUUAGUUACAUUAAAAAGAUUAUUGGAAACAAUAUAAUUUAAAGGUUAAGAAUUAUUAAAUUAGAUAAUUAAAAUAUAGGGUUAUAUAAAUAUAGUCAAAUAAAAUAAAAAAAGUAAUUUUUAUUUUUAUUAGUUUUUAUGAAUUAAUAAUAAUAAUUAUAGUUUAUUAGUAUUGAGAAAGAAUUUAGUUAUUUAUUUAAAAGAAAAAUUUAUUUUUUGUACCUUGGGUAUCAGGGUUUAUUAAUUAAAAUUUAAUAAAUUAAAUUUCUCGAAUUUAAAAGGGCUAUAAAUAUAUAAUUAUUACUGUGGAAUAAGUAUUAUAAAUAUAUUUAUAGAAAUGAAACGUUAUACGAUUUUAAAUAUAUCUAGUUUUUAAAGAAAAAAAUUUAAUUUUAUUUUUAUUUUAUUAUAUAAUUAAAUUGUUAGUUAUAUACUAGUAAAAUUUAAUAAAUUAAGGGAUAAGCUUUAAUUUAAAUUUAUAUAAUUAAUUUAUAUAUAUAUAAAAAUUAAUAAGUAGAAUUGUAAGUUUUCAUCUUUUGGUAGUGUAUUAUAACUAUUUAAUUUAUUUAUAUAAUUUAUAUCAAUAAAUUUAUGUAUUUUAUUUAAAUAUAGAUAAAAAUAUUGUAUAUUUAGAAAUAAUGAUAAAAUUAGUAUAAUUUUUUGUAUUGUAUUUAUUUACAAGAAAGGUUAAAUAAAGGAAUUCGGCAAUAAGAAUUUUCCACCUGUUUAUUAAAAACAUGGCUUUUUGAGUAUAAUUUAAAGUCUGGCCUGCCCAAUGAGGAAUUUAAUGGCCGCGGUAUCUUGACCGUGCAAAGGUAGCAUAAUCAUUAGUUUUUUAAUUGAAAGCUUGUAUGAAAGGUUGGAUGAGAAAAUAACUGUCUCUAUUUAAAUUAAUUAGAAUUUUAUUUUUAAGUAAAAAAGCUUAAAUAAUUAUAAAAGACGAGAAGACCCUAUAGAGUUUUAUAAUUAUUUUAUAUGAAAGAAUUUUUAGGAUUUUU